rnacentral:rRNA from 1 species
GACGUAGGGCGCGAGCGUUGUCCGGAUUUAUUGGGCGUAAAGAGCUCGUAGGCGGCUUGUCGCGUCGACCGUGAAAACUUGGGGCUCAACCCCAAGCCUGCGGUCGAUACGGGCAGGCUAGAGUUCGGUAGGGGAGACUGGAAUUCCUGGUGUAGCGGUGAAAUGCGCAGAUAUCAGGAGGAACACCGGUGGCGAAGGCGGGUCUCUGGACAACAUCUGACGCUGAGGCACGAAAGCUAGGGGAGCAAACAGG